rnacentral:rRNA from 1 species
AUGGAGAAGAACAUGAUGGAGAUGGAGAGCCUCGAGUCCAAGAUGUUGGUGGCCACCCAGUCCAUCGACACCACCACCUCCGAGAUCAUCAGGCUCAAAGAGUCAGAGCUAUUUCCUCAGCUACUUGAGCUGGUUGCUGGGUCAGUACCGCACUACCAUCACUCCUCACUCAUUCAUUUACCGUAUGCAUCUAGUACUGGCACCUCACAUGUCUCACUACUUCCUGUAUCUGUCGUUUUUUGCAUAGUACUACUUGCAUAUGCAUGGUCAAGAAAUAAAUAA